GAUGAACGCUGGCGGCGUGCCUAACACAUGCAAGUCGAACGGAAGGACGAUAAGCUCGCUUUUCUGAUGUUAGCGGCGGACGGGUGAGUAACGCGUGGAUAACCUUCCUCUAAGACUGGGAUAAUUUCGGGAGACCGGAUCUACUAAUAGCUAAUAUUUUCAACGGGAUGGUUCAAAAGUUAUUGAGGGUUUUGCUGAUUCUUUGAGCUGAAUUCGGGUUGGAUUAGCUAGUUGGUAAGGUAACGGCUUACCAAGGCAACGAUGCGUAGCCGACCUGAGAGGGUGAUCGGCCACACUGGAACUGAGACACGGUCCAGACUCCUACGGGAGGCAGCAGUGGGGAAUAUUGGGCAAUGGGCGAAAGCCUGACGGAGCAACGCCGCGUGGGUGAAGAAGGCCUUCGGAUCGUAAAACUCUUUUAUUGGGGAAGAACAGAUGUGUGAGAAACUGUGCAUAUCUUGACGGUACCUAAACAAAAAGCAACGGCUAACUACGUG
rnacentral:rRNA from 1 species